rnacentral:rRNA from 1 species
UUAAAUGGCCGCAGUAAUUUGACUGUGCAAAGGUAGCAUAAUCAUUAGUUUUUUAAUUAAAAGCUUGUAUGAAUGGUUGGACGAAAUAAAUACUGUCUUAAAAUAAUAAAUAGAAUUUAAUUUUUAAGUUAAAAAGCUUAAAUAUUUGUUAAAGACGAGAAGACCCUAUAGAUCUUUAUAUURUUUUAUAUAUGUUUAAUUAAGAUUAUUUUAUUAUUUAUAUUUAAUAAUAUUUUAUUGGGGUAAUAAAAAGAUUAAAUUAAUUCUUUAUUUAUGAAAAUAUUAAUUAAUAGAUUUUUGAUCCUUUAUUAGAGAUUAUAAGAUUAAGUUACCUUAGGGAUAACAGCGUAAUUUUUUUAAAGAGUUCAUAUCGAUAAAAAAGUUUGCGACCUCGAUGUUGGAUUAAAAAUUAUUCUAGGUGUAGUAGUUUAGAAUUUUGGUCUGUUCGACCAUUAAAUUUUUACAUGAUCUGAGUUCAGACCGGUGUAAGCCAGGUCGGUUUCUAUCUUUAUUUAGUUAAUAUAUUUUAGUACGAAAGGACCAAAUAUAAAUUAUAGUUAUAAUUAAAAUUUUGAAUUAUAUUAUUACUUUGGCAGAUUAGUGCAAUGAAUUUAGAAUUCAAAUAUAUAAUUUUUAUUAUAAGUAAUAUUGUUUAUAUUUGAUUUUAUUUCUCUUAUUUCUAUAUUAUUAUUAGUAAUUUGUGUUUUGGUAGGRGUUGCUUUUUUAACUUUA